UGAUCACUCACACUCUGCAUUCUCACUGGGAACUGCACUCCAGAGCUGUUCCUAUUUGGCCAUCUUGGAUCGUCUCUCUGCAAUGGUAUAUUUAUUAAGGAAAACCAAAGCUUUCCACAAAAUCAUAAAUGAAGUCAAUGUGUAUAAAAUUUUCCUUUAAAAAUUUAGCAGGCUUCUUUAAAAGCUCUUUAAAUCCCUGCUGGAAAAAGAAGGAUGAGAGCAUUUGUUUCCUAUAGAGUUUAAUUAAUAGCCUAUUGUAAUGACUUUCACUGAAAGCCAUUCACACAUACUCAUCAAAGAAUAUUUUUUCAUAUUUAUGGCUAGAACAUAAUUCAGUGUUACACUUUAUAUUUGGAUCAUGUGGAUCAUAUUUGCAGAGUAUUAUUUUACAUUACUUUUCUAUUACCUUGCAUUUCAUCUUGUUUUAGAAUACCUUCAACAAUAUUCUCGAUACAGAUUUAUGCAAUCCUUAAUGAUUCGCUCAAUUGUGGUACAUGCCCUCAAUUUAAAGCCACUUAAAAAAAUAUAUAUUUUUAAUAACUUGCUCCACUAUUACCAGUGCAAAGGUUUUUAUUGACUCAUCCUUUUAGAAAUAUGCAUAUGUAAAUGUUUAUACUUUGUGCCUGUAUGUGUAUAUGAAUUUACAUGAUAUUGCCUUUUCCCUGAGUUUAUAUCAUAUUUCAGGUAAUGAUGGGUUGGUGGUAUGGCAUAUAAAGGAUGUUAUCAAUGAUUAAAUUCAAAUUUACAAGAAAAACAAGAUUAAUAGCAAUAACUAUAGGUUUUGAUGAUAAAGCUCCCUAGUGAAUUAAAAAUGAGUCUUUAAAGAAACCACAAUGGUUUUUCAGCAUCAUUUUGCAUACUACCCUCUUCAAAGAAAAUUAAGAUGACUCGUAUAGAGUCUUGAAUUUUUUUUUUAUUUAAUCCUAUGAAUUUAAAUUAUUUAUGUAUUACAUCAGUUCUAGUAUUCAAAGCCACAUGAAAUAGGAAAAAUAUUUUGGAAAAUUUUUCUUCCUGUUGAGUAACCAGUUACACCUAUACAAAGCAGGCAUUACUGAACUGUGGUCUUUCCUCUUAUUUUAGAUGACGUGUUUCCACAAGCAGAAAGGGUGCUAGAGAUAAAUCAGGAUGUGACUUUGACAAGUGUAUUCUAUGAAUAUUUGAAACUCUGUGUAUUCCUCAGAGAGAUACUACCAAAGAAAGCAUAUAAUGAACUUCCUUUUACAAUAUAUCAUCUUUAUUCUCCUUUAUUUGAAUUCAUUUGAUUAUUUAUUAGUUCUUAUAUUCAAGAAAUACCUAUUCAGUGAUGAGUAUGCCUCAGUGGGCACUGAGGAUAUUAUAGUGAACAACAUAUAUACAGUGUCUCUCCUAGAGCUCACAUUCUGGUCAUAGUGGCAGAGGAAAAAGAUAAAACCGUGUACAGAAAUAAGGAAAAUACUUUCAGAUGGUAGUAAGUCUAUGAAGAAAUGAAAUAAAACAGGGUGAUGAACAAGAAUCAUGGAGGCAAUGACUGUGUGGGUCAAGGUAGAGCACCCUGGAGGGUAGCAUUUGAGUUUGAACCUGAAUGACAGGAAGGAAUGAAACAAAAGUGUGGAUAGAGAAUUCUAGAUGAAGUAAACAGCAAUAGAAAGACAGCUAGGUAAGGAAAAGCUUGACAUGUUAAAAGAGACAGAAAACAUAAGGUCAGGUUGGAAUGGCUGGCAGAGGCAAGGGCAUACAUGGGCCCUGUAAGUAGAUUGCUUUUCUAAGAGAUUUAGAGACCAUUAGAGGAGUUUAGGUUGAGAUGAGACAUAGUCUGAUUUACAUUUUAUGAGUAGAAAAAUGGAUUCCACUAAUAAUCUUGGAAGAAAAAAAUGGAUAAUAGAGUAGUGGGAGAAAGAGGGAUACCACUUGGGAAGCCAUACCAGUAAUCCAAGCAAAAUAUAAUGGUGGCUUGGGCCACGAUGGCAGUGUUGGAGGUAUAGGAAGGGUGGUAUAAUUUGGCAGUUCAUGGAUUAGAUGUGAGUGUGAGAGAAAGAGAGAUUAGGAAUGACUUGUACGUUUUUAAUGUAAAUAAUUAAGUGAAUGAUGGCACCAUUUUCUGAGAUGGGAAAAAGUGAGAUAUUUCAUCUUUAAGAGUACUGGUCAAGCUUUCUGUUCUGGCAGUAGUUACACAUUCAGAUAUACAUUCCUGAAAGCUCAAUUGAGAGGUGACCAUGUGGAGGUAAUAUUCUGAUGACUAAACCAGGCAUAGGGGGAAGAUUGAUGAAAGUUGUUCUCUUCUAAUUAAAGUAGUUGUUUUACAUGCAUCAUAAUAAAUAGUAAAUUUGGAUAUUGAACAGGUUUCAUAGAUACAGAUAUUCAUAAAUAUUUUUUUAAGUCUUUAUGAGAAAUCUUUUUAGUAAACUUAAAAUUCCUUCCUAUUUUAUGCAAACUAAUAUUCUUAAAGCAGCAGUUCUAAAAGUGUGGUCAGGGACACUUUUAGGGGAUCAUUGAGGUCAGAAAUAUUUUCAUAAUAAUACGAUCUUUUCUGUCUUCUGUCUCAUUCUUUCAGGAGUAUACAGUGAAGUUUUUGAUAGGUCACAUGAUGUGUGGUAUAGCAGCAGACUGAAUGCAGAAACAGAGAAUACAGCUGCUUUCUAUUAAGCUAGACAUCAGUUAGAUUUCUCCAAAGUGUAAAACAAUGGCAUGCUUUGUAUUAACAUUUUUGUUUUAAAAGUGUAGUUAAUUUUUAAUUAAAAUGUAUUAUUUAACAUGUAAGAGACUUGUUACUGUUAUUUUUAAGUGAAUAAAUAUUUGAAACAUUUCUCCAUUUUAACAUCAAAUAGAGCAAGUAACCAUAGAAGUAACCCACAUAAUCAAAAGCUUCUUAAGAUUUUCACUAAUAUUUAAUAGCAUAAUGAAGUCUGGAGACUGAGUUGGAGAACCACUGCCUUAAGCAUAUGCCUUGAGGGCUAAUAUGACCAGGUGGUUGUUUAUUUCAGAGAAUAAAGUGAUUAGUUUAAGGUUCAACAUACCAGAUAUUGAUGCUUCUCCUCCACAUCACACAUAUAUAGGACCAUGUUACAAAAGAAAUAUCUCUUAAAUAGUCUUGAUAAAUUAGAAGCAGAAAAAUUUCUGUAAAGGCUAACAUUCAAAUCUAGUGCAAAUCGCCAAUACAUAUCAACAGCUGGCAAGUAAAUUCAAUUGAAGUGCUUAUUAUUCUGCUAAUUACAUUCCAUUUCAUUGUAUGAAAGGUAUCCUGAUACAUUUUCUAGGUUUUGUUUGUAUACUUUCUGUUGUUCAAAAUUUGGGAAUUGAAUUGGGUUCCCCAAUGCUUGUUCCGAGUUAGUGUCGUAGAACACUCAAUUUUUUUCUUUUUGUAGUUAGACUUACUGAUCUAAAAGAAUAAGGGAAAACAGAUAUUUGAAUCCAACCAACAUUUUGGAGACAGGAAAUUGUUUUAUACUGUGCUUAUUUUUCACUUAAAAUAAUCUCAGAAGGUACAUUGUUUUAUCUUUUGAAGUCUCAGUUCAGUAACUUCUCUAAUACCAUAAUGCUCUCAAAUUAAACAAGAGAAUACAUUAUCGUAUAUGCGGUCCCAGUGUAGUACUUUCAGUGUAUUUGUAAAACUAAAUUGUGAGCUACCGACUGGAUGUCUUUUUUAAAGUUCUUUUGCUAAGUAAAUGUUGAAAUACCUACAUAUUUCUCUUGUGAUGCAUUUUGCAAAGAGCUUUUUCAUUUGCUAGUACCUUUGCUUGUUUUGGAUAUUUCACCACCAUUAGCAUUUUCUUGGGAUAAGUUAAUUUUUUUUAAAUGCUGUUUUUAUUUCUUUUUCUUGGAAAAACAACUUCUUUCUUCUCAUAAAAAGGCCUUAUGAAGUAAGCAACAAUGGAAAAUAAAAGGCUGACUCCAACACAUACGACAUUAUAUUGUUAUGAGUAAUUAAUUUUAGGAUUUGCCUUUUACGCAAAUUAUAUAGUUCAGUGUUUUCUGCAACAGUACAUGCUGUUUCUUGUUUUUACAAAGUACAGACUUUCCUGGUGUAACUAGACUUCAGAACUAGCUUUCUGCCUCUUGUCUCUCUGUGUUUUAUGUUAUAAACACUUUAGCCAUGGAGUCCAAUUGUCUUGCAGAGAAAUGACCACAAGCCUAAAAACCAUAAAUCCUGGAAGUUUCUUCCAGAUCCUGCAUUAAGUGGCUAUGUGACUAGAUUGAAAUGUUUGAGAUAAUACUCUCUGUACAUUAGCUACUUUUUCCCCUCAAUUUUGUGAAUGAUACCUCUUUUUCUCCCUAACAUUUGCCUACAUGAGAAACCCAGGAAUUAUUUCCAAAGUCUGUUGCACGUAUCCUAUUCAGUCUAUCAGGCUAUCAAAAUCAUGUAUCCCUGUGUGCUACUGCUUUAAUUGAGGACUUUAUAACUUCUUGCCUGAAUUUUCCCCACAAUUCUUAUAGGCCUUCCUGUCUCUAGGUUUAUUUGACUUUCUACAUCCUCUACGCGACCAUGAGUAAGAACUUUUUAAAGGACAAAUGUGUUCAUGUCCACCCCCCUCUCAGUGUUUUCCAAUGCCUUCCCAAGGUAAAACUUCAGAUGCCUUAGGAUGGAAGACUACAGUGAAAUAAAGAGAGCUACUUUUUGGAACUUGGCAGACAUGAACUUUCAUUCUGAUUCUGCUGUAUAACCACCUAAGUAAUCUUGAAGGAAUUCUCCAACCUUUUUAGUCAUUCCUUCCUCAUUUGUCACAUAAUAUAUGUCAAGCGUCAAGUCCUGUGUCUGGCAAAUGGGAGUGGCCGUUACCCAUUGAUAUGCCCUGCUUCCCUGUUAGAUUCUGCACUCACCACUUCAUAGCUCUGGCUCAACUUCCUCGAAUGCUCGCUUCUCUGUGUGACUUGUACGUUUUCCUCUGUCUGGCACACAUGCACUAACGCACUACUGCUCUUGGAGUUGAUGUAGAAGUUGGCUUUUCUAAGAAGCCUGCUCUGACCCCUUCUGACUGGGCUGGACUCUUGUCUCUGAAGUUCCUAACAUCCUGUGUUCCUCUCUAUAAGCACAUUGAUCAGAUUGGGUUUUAUUUAUUACAUUUCUCCAAUGUAUUCAUUCAUGAAAUCCUUAUUUUGCAUAAAAAAUUGUUCCAGACACAAUCCAAAGUUUCUGUUAACAUGGUGCUUAUAUCCUAAUGGGGACAAUACACAAUUUAAUAAAUAUUUAUAUUGUAUUGUUAUAAUACAAGGAAUAAACUCCUAGGAUUUAUGGCUUUUAGGCUUGUGGUCAUUUCACUGAAAGACAAUUGAGACCAAAUAGCUAAAGUUUAUAACAUUCAACCGAUAGCUCACAAUUUAUUUUUUUAAAUGUGUGGGUAUACACUCGCUCACACACACACACACACACACACACAUACACACACACAGGAAGUAAUAAUGGCCAUGAAAAUGAAAACAUGGCAAGGGGAAAGAGUGACAUGGGAUGGGGAAGGGAUUGCUAUGUUAUGGGAGGUGUCGGGAAGACCUCUGUAAGUUGAGCAUUGAGCAGAGACGUGAAUGAGGUGAUAAUAGGUAGUGCUAAUAUCUGGAGAGAAGAACAUUUUAUGCAGAGGGAAUAAAUAUGCAAAGCUCUGAGUGAGGAUUAUGGUUGGCAUGUUCAAUCAGCAGUAUGGAAGCCAAUGUGUCAUGAGUGGAGUGAGGCAUUACAGGGGUGCAGGUGGGGGAGUUGGGUAACAAAACCAAUUAUAUAACUGAGCUCUGAUGGCAUUGUAACACAUUCUAAUAACUUUUAUUUUUUUUGAAAUUAAGUUGGAAAUCCACAGGAGGAUUUGAGCAGUAGAGCAGCAUGCUCUAAGUUGUGGCUAAUAAGGAACUUUCUUCCAGCUAUGGAGAAUAAACUCUCUGGUGACAAGCACAUGUAUCAGCUAGAAAGCUAUUAAAUAGUCAAAGAGGCAGAUAAUGAUGACUUGGGCUAAGGUGGCUAAAAAAUGGAGGUGGUGAAAAAUAGUCAAAUUUAGGAACAAUUUUAAAUGCUCAGCCAAUAGUAUUUACUAAUGGAUUGGACUCUAAAUGGUGUGUGAGAUACAGUGAGGAGUGAAAGAUGACUCCAAGUUUUUGGCCUAAACAAUUGGAAUAAUGGAGUUGACUUUUAUGGAAAUUAAGAACACUAAUUGGCAAGCAAGACUGUCAGGGAAUAUCUAGGGUACAAUAACAAUUGUAUGCUUAUAUAUUAUAACAGGGAUUGGCUAAAUUGUGGUUACAAAGAGCUCUCAAAAUGCCAUGACGCUAAUAAGAUUUAGAUUUCUUUCUCUAUGGUGCAAUACCCUAGAAGUGAGUAGAGGAGGCUGGUGGAGCUGCUCUCCCUCUUGUAGUCUUUCAGGCACCUGGAUUUAUUCCACCUUGUUUGCUCUGCAUCACCUAGCUGUUGUUCUUUUCUACAUGGUUGAAGCUGGGUCCUUACUUUGUUGAUACUCUAUGCUAUGGGAGGGGAAGAAAGAGAAAUGACAGGGCAGGUAGCUUCAUGCUUUAAGUUGCACACUUCACCUGCCUCCAUCCUCCUGUCUACUACUUAGAUACAGAAAGGCUAGAAAAAGUAAUCUCAACAAAGGCAGGCAUCUGUCCAGUAAAAAAAUUGUGGGGAUUUAUUUGUUGAAAUGAAAAAUGGAUUCUGGGGGACAUUUUUGCCCUAUUUGUUUCACUUUCAUAAGCAACUUAAGGUCAGGAACUACUAUGUUCUCUCUAAGCCCACUGUUCCAGCACAUAGCAUGUGUUUACUAUAUGUUGGUUUCCUUAAUAAUCAAUUAAUUUUAUGGAACAGAAAUUAUCUUAUACUUGAUGGUGUGUUUCCUCCUGUGUACUUCUGAAUUAAUUGUAUAACUCAUUUUUUUCUAUUUUAGGCUAUAUUUUAAUGUAUCUUCAUUUCUCAUGAAGAAAAAGUAUAGCAUUUCAAUUACCUUUAAGUCAUUGUCUUACAUUUAUUUAUUAUUCAGGAUGAACAAGUCAUGAUGAGAAAUCAUUUAUGUUUUUCAAAGAGUAUUUACCUCACACAUUUGCUUCCAAAUAACAAUUCCAGAAAUCAUACUCAGUGAUGAAAUAAUGAGUCACUUCCAUAUAAUAAAAUUGCAUCACCUAUUCCAAAUUGCCAAACUGUUCAACUGUCACCUACACUCUAAGCUGAAUGCUGCUGCUGCUGUCUUCUUAAUUCUAUUUAGCUUAAAAGUUAGAGAAAAUGUAUUUGAGUUUAAAAGUUUUAAACAAAAGAGCAUAAACUACAUAACAUUUAGGAAUUAUGUGUAAGACUAUUCUGAAGAUAACAUUUAAUAAGAAAACAAAUUGUUAAGACAAUAAAGUAUUUUAUAAUAAGGCAACUGAGAAUUUACACAUAGAACAUAAUAUGAUUCCUUUGGAAAGCUUGGAUUUGGGCUAUUAAUAUGAAAUAAAAGUACCUACUUUUUAAUAAUAUACUAUGUUGAAAAUUGGCCCUGUCUUAUUUUCAAGAUCAAUUUAUCUAUCUAUCUGUCUAUCUAUCUAUCUGUCUACAUGUAUAUAUUUUGUUAGUUCAUCAUAUGUGUGGAAAACUGCACAUUAUUUUCCAAACACCUUCAUGGGCUAUUUUUACAUCUUCAAGCCUAAGUCUGUAAAUCAAAUAUAUAUUCUUAAUUUACUAGUGAAUUUUUUUAAGAAAUUAAAUGAAGACAUGGAUAUUAAAGAACAUUUUUAUUGUAAUGUACUCUAAGUUCCAUGUGGGUAGAAAACUUUUUGGUGCCUAGCCCUGAGCUGGCACAUGGAAGGUGUUUUAGUCACUUAACAAAUAAUUAGUAAUUGAAUCUUCCUUUAAUGCCAAAUAUACUUCUCGACACUAAAACUUCACAGUUGAUGUGCAAUUUAUGUUAGGGAAUACACCUGCACAUGUGCAAAAGCAUAUCACAUGCACACAACUUUAUUACAUUCUUUUCACAUCUAGAAUUAUCUUCUUAUAGAUAAUUAUAAUAAGUGAUACAGCUUGUGAAAACAUUUAAUCAGGAUGUUAUUAAGCAUCUGGCUUUUUUUGAAUAUUAUCUACUUGUUUUCCCUCUUUAUGAAAUUUUUAUUCCUUUAAUUUUAAAACUCUCACAUUUAAUAUUUAGUCUUUAAGGUUUCUAAAACUUCUGUUGAAAUUUACUAAGCUAGGGCUUUAAAAAAUUAUUUGUUUGACCUAACAUAGGGAUAUCACUUGGACUGUGCAAACUUUCAAUUAAGAUCAUUAGAGUUGGUCAGAGUGUGUGCGUGCGUGUGUGUGUGUGUGUGUGUGUGUGUGUGUGUGUGUUGUAAAUUCUCAACUUUUUAAUGAGAGCAAGAAGGAGAUUCACAAAACUAUAUGUAAAACUGUCAUCAAUGCAGAAGCAUAUGCCAUUAUACGGAAGAGAUAAUUUAUUGAGUUAAACUUUGCCCUAAGGAAAUAAAAUUAGAAAAAAUUUUGAGUAGAAAUGUUUAGCUUUCCAUAUCUUAUAAUGGCUUGCUUGUAACUAAAAUGAAAUUUAAUAAACUUUUAUCAUGCAUUACAGUGUAUUCCUUCAAUUCCUCAUACCAAAUGUAUUUCUUUCUAGAAAUACCCAGCCAUAUCACAAAAUUACUAGAUUUCAAAGGAGUUCAAAAAAUAAUCAAAUUUUUCUUGAGGUUUGUAUGUAAAGUCAGUCUGCAUGUUCUAAAAAAUUUAAGAGAACUGGAUUUCAUAAAACCUUUUACUAUUGAGAGUGUUUUUUCUUAUACUUAAACUAAUACAACCUAAAACUCUAUUUUUAAAUUAUAUCAUCUUUAUUGUUAAAAAAUAGAGAACUGGUUUUCAACUUCUAUUCAGUUAUUCUUGUUCCCAAGAAUGAGGGAGAAAGAAGUAUUCCUCAAGUAUAUUUUUGACUUAUGGAGGCAAUUAAUCUUACUAAUCAAAAAUAGAUUUUAAAUGUUUUCACCACAAAAAUAUGUGUGUGAGGUAAUGGAUAUGUUAAUUAACUUGGUUUAGUCAUUCCAAACUGUACACAUAUAUUAAAACAUCAUGUUGGGUACUAUAAGAAUAUAUAUUUAUUUCAAUUAAGAAAAGAAUAAGCCUUGGUUAUUUAACAUUUAUGAAUUUGUGUUUCAUUCUCUGUAAAAUAAUUAAUUAAUAAUAUCUUCCUCCAAAGAUGCUUGUGAUCAUGAAUGUAAAAUAUUUAUAACUCAUCUGUAACAUUGUAAACAUUUUAAAUAUAUAUACUAAAUUCUUUUUAGCAUAGUAAAUUCAAAUAUUUAACUUUCUUCUCAUCACCUUACAAUGUCCAUGUAAUCAAAAUUUUCAUUAUAUCAGUCUCAAGAAAUGAGAGCUUAAAGUUGAAAAGGGUGAAUGUUUAACAAUUGGCUUUGCAAAAAAAAAAAAAGAAAAGUUUUGAUUUUUAGACUUUGCAAAUUUUCAUAGUGUGAAUAUUGCCAUCAUGGCCAAUUUCAAACACCAACAUGAUGCCUGAAAGUGCAGAGUUGCUAAUGUGUUUGAGUCAGUUGUGGUGCACCCCUGGGUGUGGUCAUAAAGAACUGCUUAAUCGUAUUGAUGAUGGCAGAAUUGAUAUGUAAAUUUGCAUGUUAUACUUUGUUUAUGAUCCAUUAUUUGUAUUUUCCAUCAGUUUAUUGAUUAUAUUUCUGAUGUCAAUUCCAUUCAGCUGUGAAAUUUCAGAUUUCCCUUUAAGUCUCACCUUUGAAGUUGCAAACUGACUCAGACCCUGCAUUUGCCCUGCUUGAGAAUAACACAUCAGGUGUUAAGAUUCAUCCAGCCCUCCACAGUAGCAUGCUCUGUUAUACGUGUGCAAUCUUUUUUUUAUACAUUGUAAUUUUUGUCUUUCAAUGAAAGAAAAUGUAAAAGGAUUUGUGAAUUCCCACUCAGUUUAACCUAUAACCAGCUAUUUUCUAUUAACUUAUCAAUAUUUUGCAGAAAAAUAUGUAUUUUAUAAAUCCAGCAAUUUCUAGAAUUUAAAAAGAGAAAAACACUGACAAUGUAAUAACUGAAUUACUAAGUUGGAGUCAGUAUGUGUUCCUUAGGCCAGAGUCAGGUACUAUAAUGUACAAUGUUUCAUUUAACUCUUCAAAAGUUCUUUAAUUUAUUUCCUCCACUGUGUGCAUAUAAGUAUAUACACACAAACACACAUGUAUAUAUACACACGUUAGUUUCCUCCAAUAAAUCUGUAGCAUGAGUUUUUUCAUAUAAGAAAGCUGUCAUUUUUGAUAUAUGUUUGCCCUUUAUUUCUAUCAAACAUAAUUUUAUACUUUAUCUUCAAUUUAUAUUCAAUUAUGGGAUUAUCAAAUUAUCUGUUGUCAAAUUGAUUCAAAUAUGAUUAUUUCACCUGGAAGAUAAAAACAUGAAACCUCAUUCAAAUCGUUUCCCAUCUUUCAAGGCCAGAGCCAACACCAUUUUCUCCAUCAAAUUCCUGAUAUAUGUUUUAAAACGUUAUUUAUUCCUUCCCAAAUAUUUCACAUCUUCUUGGGCAAAUAUAUCAUUAUGUUCUAAUUGAUUGGUUCUCAAAAUGUGAUUCCUGGACCAGCAGCAAUGGUAUCUGGUAGAAAUGAAAAUUAUCAGGGCUCACCCUAGACCUGUGGAAUCAGAAACUGUAGCAAUGAUGCCCAGCAAUCUGCUUUAACAAGUAUUGAGGACGAUUCUGAUUCUGAAUGAUUAAUUGCAUAAUUUAGCUCAUUAUUUAGUUGUAUGUUCUAUGAGGAUGGUAUUUAUGAGUAAUUGUACCCGGAAAAUAUUUAUUGAAUGAAGUAAUAUAUCGAUAAACAGAAAUACAAUUUAAGAAAGAUGGAACAAUUAACUGGAAG